GGGUCUUUAGCUCAGUUGGUUAGAGCGCUCGGCUCAUAACCGAGUGGUCCAGGGUUCAAGUCCCUGAGGACCCACCA
rnacentral:tRNA from 1 species